rnacentral:RNase_P_RNA from 1 species
AGCAGGCCGGAUGGCCGCUGCCGCGCAGACGAAAGGGCGCGGGAGAGGAAAGUCCGGGCUUCACAGGGCAGGAUGCCAGAUAACGUCUGGCGAAGGCGACUUCAGGGACAGUGCAACAGAAAUAAACCGCCGUCCUUUGGACGGUAAGGGUGGAAAGGCGGUGUAAGAGACCACCGCCCGGCUGGUAACAGACGGGGCACAUGUAAACCCCAUCCGAAGCAAGACCGAGCAGGAGGCAUAUGGCGGCCCGUCAGCCUCCGGGUAGGUUGCUUGAGGCUGCUGGCGACGGCAGUCCUAGAUAGAUGGCCAUCCAAGACAUAACCCGGCUUACAGGCUUACUCA